rnacentral:rRNA from 1 species
UACGUAGGGGGCAAGCGUUGUCCGGAUUUAUUGGGCGUAAAGAGCGUGUAGGCGGCCAGACAGGUCUGCUGUGAAAACUCGAGGCUCAACCUCGAGACGCCGGUGGAAACCGUUUGGCUAGAGUCCGGAAGAGGAGAGUGGAAUUCCCGGUGUAGCGGUGAAAUGCGCAGAUAUCAGGAAGAACACCCGUGGCUAAGGCGGCUCUCUAGUACGGUACUGACGCUGAGACGCGAAAGCGUGGGGAGCGAACAGG